rnacentral:rRNA from 1 species
GAGUUUGAUCAUGGCUCAGGAUGAACGCUAGCGGGAGGCCUAACACAUGCAAGCCGAGCGGUAUUGUUUCUUCGGAAAUGAGAGAGCGGCGUACGGGUGCGGAACACGUGUGCAACCUGCCUUUAUCUGGGGGAUAGCCUUUCGAAAGGAAGAUUAAUACUCCAUAAUAUAUUGAACGGCAUCGUUUAAUAUUGAAAGCUCCGGCGGAUAGAGAUGGGCACGCGCAAGAUUAGCUAGUUGGUGAGGUAACGGCUCACCAAGGCAAUGAUCUUUAGGGGGCCUGAGAGGGUGAUCCCCCACACUGGUACUGAGACACGGACCAGACUCCUACGGGAGGCAGCAGUGAGGAAUAUUGGUCAAUGGGUGCAAGCCUGAACCAGCCAUCCCGCGUGAAGGACGACUGCCCUAUGGGUUGUAAACUUCUUUUGUAUAGGGAUAAACCUUUCCACGUGUGGAAAGCUGAAGGUACUAUACGAAUAAGCACCGGCUAACUCCGUG